UGCCCUCAAAAGACGGUAUUAG
rnacentral:miRNA from 1 species